rnacentral:rRNA from 1 species
AUUGAACGCUGGCGGCAUGCCUUACACAUGCAAGUCGAACGGCAGCACGGGAGCAAUCCUGGUGGCGAGUGGCGAACGGGUGAGUAAUAUAUCGGAACGUGCCCAGUCGUGGGGGAUAACGCAGCGAAAGCUGUGCUAAUACCGCAUACGAUCUACGGGUGAAAGCGGGGGAUCGCAAGACCUCGCGCGAUUGGAGCGGCCGAUAUCAGAUUAGCUAGUUGGUGAGGUAAAGGCUCACCAAGGCGACGAUCUGUAGCUGGUCUGAGAGGACGACCAGCCACACUGGAACUGAGACACGGUCCAGACUCCUACGGGAGGCAGCAGUGGGGAAUUUUGGACAAUGGGCUCAAGCCUGAUCCAGCAAUGCCGCGUGCAGGAUGAAGGCCUUCGGGUUGUAAACUGCUUUUGUACGGAACGAAACGGCGAGCUCUAAUACAGUUUGCUAAUGACGGUACCGUAAGAAUAAGCACCGGCUAACUACGUGCCAGCCGCCGCAGUAAUAC